ACCAUGUGUUUGGUUUUUAUAUUUACAUUGAUUAAAAAAAAAAAGUAACACAAUUUCCAAACUUGGCGCAUUUCUUUCCCUCCUAAAAUGGCGGAUGUUUCUCUCUCUGCGCACCAACUUUCUCUCUUCUACUCCCAAAUCCAACUCAGAAGAUUUGAUGAUUCUACGCUGCGAAUUCUGGAGUUAAUUCUCUCUUCGAAAGAUGUGAAGUUAUUGCUUGAACUUAGGAGUAAGUUGAAGGAAUUUCUAAGGUCACAAUCUCUCAUCGCAAUUCGCGAAGCUGCAGAAAAACCUAUCGAACAUAAAUUACUGAUUCUCGAAUUCCUCGUUCGUGCUUUUGCGAUCGUUGAUGAUAUUGAGAGUUGCUUGGCUGUGAGAUACGAGGGUUUGAUUAUGCGUGAUACUUGGACUGUCAAUCAUUUGGAGCUGCGAGUUUCUUGCAGUGAAUGGAUGAACUUUGCGGAAGAUGCUUUUAACAACGAAUAUUAUUCUGUCACUGCAAAGGCUUGCGAAAAUGCUCUUUUGUGCCUUAAGGAAGAAGAAGGUGAUUACAAUUGUGACAACCUCUGGGGAAAUACGUGGACCAUCAGUAAAAUACAGAGGCUUGAGGAUAUUGCUAUCAGAUUAUCUACUUGCCAUUCUGUUCAGGGGCAAGCUGCUGAGUACAUGAGAAAGAAGACUAUGAGCAUUAAAAAAUCUUCAUUUUCAGAAGUAGCAGAAAGUACUGCAAGCAUGUGCUUUAGAGAUGGGAUCAAGCAGCAGAAUAUACGUAACCUUUUACGUCUCAAAAAUCAGUAGCAGGCUCACAGGAAGUUCGAAGCUUUGAUUCAUACAUUUCAGGUGUGUCUUGGAUUAGCAGGCCUAACUCUUAAUUUGAAGAUUUAAUGAGAUUUGAAAAUGGUUGACAGUGGGUUAUGUCUGUUUGAUGAUAACUUUCAUAGUUUCAUUGGGAACCUGCUAACAAACUCUGGUUAAGCAGUUGGACUGUUCAGGGUGUUUGAAAAAUUGGACCUCAAGCUGCAGCCUGCAGGGACUAACAAAUUUUGUUGCAAGUACACCUAGAUGAGAGUAUAUACUGCUUUUUUCUCUAAACAAGUGUAGUGAUUGAAAUUCAAUUUAAAUAUUAUUCUGGAUUAUAAUCAGGUAAUUUUAUUUCAACAAAAUUAGUGUGUUCUUUAUAUUUUUUAUGCCUUUUUCUUGUGUAUAAAACUACAAUUUACAGUGACACUUGUGGAAUGAGUGUUGUUUUUCUUGGAACAAAAGAUUAGAAAGCAUGGAAGCAUGUGAAAUGCAUUCAAUGCUAUAAUGCAAAUAGGGCAAUAGGCCUUAGGGUUCUACAACUUUCAUGGGGCAUUUUGAGUUAAAAUUAUAAUAAUUAUCUUGUAGUCACCUACUAGUUUAAUAAUACUUAGAUCUUUGCUUGAUAUCUACUCUCGUUGAAUGGUCUACGUGACUACGUGAGUAAUAUCUUAUUAACUUGUGUAAUUAUCAUUCUUUUAUUUUCUUUGAUAAGGAUGAAUCGCUCCGUUUACGUAUGUGUUUCAUUAUUUUGAGUAGGAUAAUUUCAGUGAAAAACAGAGGCAUUAUAAUCAAUUUGUUUGUGUCCCAAUUUCCAUGAUUUUUUGGAUAAAGCUUUUAGGUUCUCAUUAUAAAAAUUACUGCUCUUUUUGCAGUACAACGUUACAAAGGAAAGUUUUUCUACGUGUUGAAGUAAUGAUAUCUUUUUUCCCCUUCAAAAAAAAAAAAAAGUAAUGAUAUCUUUUGCAUCUUCUGACAAACUACUCCAAUGAUGGGGCAAAAUGGAAGUUGGCUUAGAGUGCCACAUAGGUUUUUCUAUCUAAUUCAACUUUAAGUCAAAAUUUACACAAUAGUUAGUCAAUAUACUUGUUGUUUGAGUAUGUUCCACUAGUGGUGGAUUUAGAAAUUAUAUGCAACAUGAUCAUUAAUCGUAAGUACCCGAAACACUGUUGAAUGGGGGUUUUUUCCACUACUAAUUAACACUUUUAUCUACAUUUAAACACAAAAAAUUAGGUUUUUUCUCAUAUUAUUUUUCCCCAAUUGGGGUCAAGUGAUCCUACUUUUAUCAACAUGCAUCCAUCAUUAGGUCUCACUUGCCAAUCAUCUUUUGUAUUUUCUUUUUUACAUAUUCCCUACUUAUUAUUAAUUGGAAUCAAAAUUCCCACAUGGACUCAUAAUUUUAGCUCAAGCAAAUUGGCUUAAUUAAGCUAUUUUUUCAAUUUGUUAGCACCAAUUUCACUUCAUAAACAAAAAUGUUGAAAUAACGACACUAAUUCUUCAGCAUGGAGGUGAAAUGAUAUGUCUCUGCGUUUAUCUUCAACUCUUGAAGAACUAAAGAACACCGAUUUCACGUGUGAGUUUGUGAGGAUUCUUUUGACUUACAAUGAUGGUCCCAAGUUUGGAAAGGAAAUAGGAUUGCGGUAGCUGGUAGGUGACAUUCGGGAUUAAACUUCAUUCAUGAGCAUGAGUUCAGAUGUUAUCUUUAUGGGGGUGUUUCGUAUUGAGCGAGGCGUUGCACUUUAUAAAUCAUCGUAAAGUAAUAGUUUCAAUCAUCGCUUGAAAAUUACUAUGUACCACACAUUGCUCGAGUGUAGUGUUCAAUCAAAAGGCUUAUAGGUUCUACACAAGGGAGAUCUAGGAAAAUUAUUAAGAUAAAGCUAUGUGUAGUAUCGUAGAACAAAAGGUUUUUGCAACAUUGUAGCACACUAGCACAGUUGGUAUGUGGAGGACUAACAGAUGAAGUAGAUAUUAGGGCUCUUAUACCCGUGGGUAAUGGUAUUCAAAACAAGAGGAAAAUAGAAAUGAAGGUAGUAUCAUGAUAGUCAGUAAAAUAAUGUAGCUGAGGUAUAUAGGACAAAUGAUAGGAUUAUGAAAGUUAUGUGAUAGAGAGAUUAUAAAUGUCUGUUGAAUUAUGUUUUGAAUUAAUUAUUUGGCGCAAGGAUUAAUCAAGUACGGGUUUAAGAGUGAAACGUUCUAGUGAGAGUUAGAGGACAAUGCUCCCGAAUUUUUCGUUAUAUGUUGUUUAUUAUAUCAAGUCUCCCUAUAAUUAUCCCUACCUUUAUAUUCUGAAAUCUGUUCUCUUCUAAACCUAAUAAAACGUUUCUCCUCUGCAUGUGCACGUAGCUAACACGUUGUUAGUGAACUACGCUAAUUUUUGUAUCAAUUGUUAAUUAAUUCUUUUGUUGGUUUAUUGCGUUUGUUACAACAAUAUUAGGGUGAAUUAUAAAAAGACAGCACACAAGAAAAGUUAAAAUGUGAAUUAUACUUCCUACUCUCCUGUUUAGAGGCUAACAUAUAUGGACUUCCUACGCUGCACCAUUGGGAUUACCAACAUUGGUUGUUAUCAUUGACCAAUUGACCAUGCUUUUCUUCAAACUAUUUAGUGGAUCAAACUUCGGAAUAAUCAUGCAUCAAAUAGGGGAAUGUUAGGCCUAAUUUUGAAGGGUAGGAAACAUGCAAUUUCUGGCUGAAGGAAAAUAAAACUUCCUUUUCAUGUGGGGUAAAAGUGUGUUUCGGUGAUAUAGAUGUGUAUUGUGAAUUCUGAUGAUGCAUCAAAUUCUUGAGUGUAAUGGUUAUACCAUAAUUAUUAUAUAAUAAUUUAUAAAUUAUCGUAUCUUUUUUUUUAGUGAAAAACACAAAUGACAUGAAAUAAAUGACAAAAUGGUAUGAUAAUAUUAAUGUCAUUAUUUGUAUAGUUCAUGUUAUUCUUAUUGGAGUCUACGUCAUUAUGUAUGUUACACGAUAUAUAAUGUAACAUGUUACACUCAAGAUGCACUAUAUAGAAAUUUGAUGCAUAUUGUGCAUUUUGUCCAUGAAUUAUCACCAAUGAUGAAAAAGAUUGAAAUUAAGUUGAGUUACAAAUAUAGAUAGAAAUUAGAAUAGUUUGUAGUAUAGCAAUUAUUUGAAUCAUUUAUUAGUUGUUGUUACAUUCAAACAGUCAUUCAUUUGAAAUGGACACAUAACUCCUAGAAAUUUUUUCGAUUUUGUAGAUUUUUUUUUAUACUACUACCUCGUUUUGAAUAAACUAUUAAACCAUAUCUUAAACAACCCACAAUCUUUGACAAUAGUGAAUAAGCUUCUGAAAUGUUGCCUGAUGCCAUGAUCUUUGAUGGAUCAUACAUUGUGAUACGUGAUAUUUAACGUGUUAUCUUUGAAGACGUAGAUUUGUGUGUUUGUUCAUGUGAAUGUCUGCCAACAAACAUUCACGUCGAACCCAUUUUCACUUCUUUAAUUCAAGCUAGGGUUUUUCAUAAUACCACCUGAUUAUAUGUUUAGCAUAUGUUAAUCCCACUUGCUAUGUUUCUUAAUUACACUCCCUUCCCAACAAAAGAAACUGUUUAUGUCUUAAAUUUGUACUUUAUUUUUUCAUACUCACGUGUUUAGUAGAAGCUUAGGAAAGAAGAGAAAAAAUUAGUCAAAUGGGAACGUGGAAUUGAAACAACUGCAUGAGCAUGGCUGCCAACCUAUCACGCGCCAAGGCGGUGGUCUAUUGGUCUUCCCUUGUAUGCAAAUUGACCAUUACACCCUUAUUAUCCUACUAGUAUACUACCCUUAUUAAUAAUGAACGUAUAUUUUUUUUAACCUGAAGUAAAUAUAUAUUGCUUCAACUUUACCACCAGUAUCCGAGGAAAGAUACACAAAUUACAGUGAUCUAUGGUUAUUUUCAAUUGGUAAAUGUGUGUUUAAGAAAGAAAAAAGAUGUGUGUGAAUU